rnacentral:tRNA from 1 species
GCGUAUAGAGCAUUGAUGGGACUCACUUUUCGUUGACUUUCCGAUUGACUUAACGUAUUGCGCUACGCUGGCAGCGUAGCGGUCAGGGGUUCGAGCCCCCUAUGCUCCA